ensembl:lncRNA
CUACAUUUCCCAGGCUCCCAGGGAGUACGGAAUCCCAGCUCGCCACUUAGAAGCCAGGGACUACAAAUCCCAGCACAAUCUGCGCUCCGUCUUUCUAACUUGGGCUCCAGUGUGCCGCGCAGGGUGCGCAAAUUUGGAAUCCUUCUGUAGGAUUCGUUUCUGAAUCCCGUUACUUGAAACCCGGCGGGAAGGUCCUCAUUCUCCCUGGAGACAUGACAGCCCGCCGACAGUUAACUUCUGUUUACACGGAACUCAGAAGUCUGCAAACCAUGAUUUUUUUAAUGCUGAGCUAUCUUUGUUGCUGAGAUGUGUCAUACACUCCGUGAGAGAAGAUACAUAAACCCAUCAGGACCACCCAAGUCAAGAUGUAGAACAGCUGGAACAUUCAUUGUGCCCUUUUCAAUCAGUACUGCAUCCUCGUAUCUGGAGGUAAUCAACCACUCUCCUGGUUUUAUGGCUAUUAGAUAUUUUGUGUGUAUUUGAAUUUGUAUGUAGAUUUCAUUAUGUCUGGCUUUCUUGUUAAUCAGUAUUUUUGUGUUUGUAGCAUUUUUUUUAAGUUGGCAAGUUUUAUGUGUAAAUCACAGAGUUUGUCAUUGACAGGAAUAUAUUCUGAAGUGAAUGUUCUUGUUUGCUUCCUUUUGUGGAUGUGCUGCAUAGAUUUUAGGGAAAAUGUCGUUAAACUUGUAGAUAUUCCAGUGGUCAGAGGUAGUAGAUAUGUCCAGUUUUCCAAAGUGAUUGAGAACUGAGGCUCUUGCCCACUAUGUAGGAAACUUCUAGUUGGUGUUCAUUCUUGUUGACACUGUGUGUUUGCCAUAAGUCUUUUUAAUUUAGGCCACUCUGGCUAAAUGUGGUAUUUCUUUAAAGUAUGCAUUUCUAUUUUUCUGAUGCUGACUACAUUAACUGCCUAUUUGAAUGGUUUUUUUGCCAAGUGCCUAAGGCUUUUGCCCACUUAUUAGGCAUUUGUCUUUCUACUGAUUUGUAGUUCUUUAUGUAGUCUUACAGAUUUCUUUUUCUUUCUUUUCUUUUUUUUGAUUUUUCGAGAUAGGGUUUCUCUGUGUAGCUUUGGAGCCUAUCCUGGCACUCACUCUGGAGACCAGGCUGGCCUCGAAGUCACAGAGAUCUGCCUGCUUCUGCCUCCCGAGUGCUGGAAUUAAAGGUGUGCACCACCAAUGCCCGGCCAGAUUUCUUUUUCUGACAUAUACUUUGCAUAUAUCUUUUCCAAAGUUGUGGCAUGACUUCUCACUAGUGUUUUUUGAAAUAUAAAUUAUCUCUUUUUUUGUUGUUAUGUCAGUGUUGGGGAUUGAACCUAGGACCUUGCCUAUGCUAGGCAAGAGCUUUACUACUCACCUACAUUCUGUCCUCAGUACAGAUUUUUAAAAAUUGUUUUACAUUUAUUUAUUUUAUUUUUAUGUGUGGACUGGAGAGAUGGCUCAGCCAUUAAAGGCUAGGUUCAUAGCCAAAAAUAUUUAUUUUAUGUACAUGAAGGUUUUGCUUACAUGUGUGUAUGUGCACCAUACAUAUGGUUGGUCUCCUUGGAGGUCAGAAGAGGGUGUCAGAUCCUUUUGGAACUGGAGUUAUGGAUGGUUGCAAAUGUCAUGUGUGUGGUGGGAACUGAACCUGGCUAUUCUACAAGGGCAAUGAGAGUUCUUAACUACAGGACCAUUUCUCCAGUCCCAUUUUUUUUUAAGGGAAAGAAAGCGUUAUUAAGCACAUUGUAAGGGAACAGCAGGCUGGGCAAUAACUAGAGUACUGCCAUAACCAGAAAUGAUUAAUUUAAUAGAAUAGUUUAAGUUUUUUUUUAAAAAGACUGCUCUUUUCAUUGAAUUUAAGAAACAUUGUGUAUAUGGUUAAUAGAAUUCUUAUAGGAAAAUAUGAGAGAACAUUGUAAAAAUUAAAAAAAAAAUGAGACUGGGAGGAGGGUGACCUAGAGAGAUCCGCCUGUCUCUGCCUCCUGAGUGCUGGGAUUAAAGCAGUGUUCCACCAUGCCUGCUUCUUCCAUGUUUUAACCACCAAAAAACCAAACCAAAACAACCUCUCCCCCCAAAUCUAGUUUUUCUUCCCCAUCUAUUCUUUUUUAUGCUUCCAAUUUUUCUCAUGGCACUUAAUCCCCAAUCUAUUCUUUUUUAUGCUUCCAAUUUUUCUCAUGGCACUUAAUAGACUGGAGCUUUUUGAGGGUAAUAACUUUGUUUUUAUUAUCAUAUAACCUUCUGUAAUUCCUGCUAGAACACAAUAGGUAAAUUUAUUUAUGUGUAUGCAUGCUUUGCCUGUAUGUAUGAAUGUACCGUGUGCAUGCCUAGUGUCCAUAAGAAACCAGAAGAGGUCAUUGGAUUUCUCUGGAUCGGGACUUCCUGGUGGGUGUAAGCUCCCAUGUGGGUGUGUGCUGCCAUUUGGGUGCUGAGAACCCAACCUGAGUCCUCUGCAGCAGCAAAGCCUCGUAACCCCUGAGCCAUCUUUCCAGUCUUGUAUCUGCUUAUCAGAAUAGAGGUUAAGAAUAUCGUCUUUCGUUUCCG